GGAAUGUUAAGUUUUCUGAAUGACCUUAGGUUAUCAAUAAACAAUCUCACAGGUACCAUUCCUGCUUGUCUUGGAAACUUAAGCAACCUAACCAGUCUAUAUCUUCAUACAAACCAACUUUCUGGUUCCAUCCCUCAAGAAUUAGGAAUGUUAAGUUCUCUUACUGACCUUGAUCUAUCAAUAAACUGUCUCACAGGUACAAUUCCUGCUUCUCUUGGAAACUUAACCGAACUCAUGACUUUAUCAUUGCUCUCGAAUAAGUUGAGUGGUUCCAUUCCUUUUGAAAUGAACAAUCUCACUCACUUAAAAAAUUUGCAGUUAUCAUACAACCAAUUCACUGGUCAUUUGCCUGAAAAUGUGUGCCUUGGUGGAUUGCUUGAGAACUUCACCGCAUUCGAUAACCAUUUUAUUGGUUCAAUACCAAAAUCAUUGAGAAAUUGCACUACCCUUUUUAGAGUCCGACUUCAAGGAAAUCAACUUACUGGAAAUAUAGGAGACAAUUUUGGAGUAUACCCACACUUAGUAUACAUGGAGUUGAGUUAUAAUAAAUUUUAUGGUGAACUUUCAACUAAUUGGGGUCAAUGUCAAAACUUGACAAGCUUGAAAAUCUCUAAUAAUGAUAUUUCAGGUAGAAUAUCUCCUAAGCUUGGAGAUGCAAGUCAAUUACAUUUACUUGACCUCUCCUCAAAUAAGCUAUAUGGGGAGAUUCCAAAGGAAUUAAGUAAGCUAACAUUUUUGAUAGAGCUUAAUCUAGGCAAUAACAAAAUUUUUGGACACAUUCCUUACAAUUUAGGGAUGCUAUCAAAUUUGGAAAGGCUCAAUCUUUCUAGAAAUAGUCUAAGUGGCUUAAUUCCCGAACUUGGGAACUGUAAAAAAUUGUGGAUGUUGGAUUUGAGCAAUAAUCACUUAAGCAAAUAUAUCCCACUUCAAAUUGGAAACAUGCACUUUCUCCAAUAUCUUGAUUUGAGCCAAAAUUUUUUAAUCAGAGAGAUACCACAACAACUUGGAGAUUUGAAAACAUUAGAAUUUUUAAAUCUUUCUCACAAUGCACUCUCGGGCUCUAUUCCAUCAAGUUUUGAUCAAAUGUUAAGCUUACGAUUCAUUGAUUUGUCUUACAAUCAGCUGGAGGGUCCUAUUCCAAAUAUUAAAGCAUUUUGUGAGGCAACAAUAGAAGCAUUUAGAAAUAACAAGGGCUUGUGUGGCAACGCCAUAGGUUUAAAGGCCUGCCCCUCUACAAUUAGCCACAAUCCACAUGUCAAAAAGAGGAAUAAAGUUAUGAAACUAAUUUUGGUGUUUUUGGGUGUUGUCUUUCUAAUAUUUAUCAUUGUUGGAAUUACAAUCUGUUUUCGCUCAAGAAAGAUGAAGACAAAAAUUAAGCCAAAAGAAGAAGAACAUCAAAAUAUGUUUGCCGUAUGGAGCUAUGAUGGGAAAAUGGUUUAUGAAAAAAUUAUUGAAGCAACGGAGGAUUUUGAUGACAAACAUAUUAUUGGUGUAGGUGGCCAUGGAAAUGUUUAUAAAGCUAAAUUGUCUACAGGUCAAGUUGUUGCUGUAAAGAAACUUCACCCACUCUCAGAAGAUAGUGUGGUCAAUCUAAAAGCUUUCACCAAUGAGAUAUGUAGUUUAACUGAAAUACGACACCGCAACAUUGUAAAGCUUCAUGGUUUUUGCUCACAUCCACGACACUUGCUUUUAGUUUAUCAGUUUUUGGAAGGUGGGAGCUUGGAAAAGAUACUAAACAAUGAUGAAUUAGCACUGGAGUUUGAUUGGGUUAAGAGGGUAAAUGUUGUUAAAGGUGUGGCAAGUGCUCUAUCUUAUAUGCAUCAUAACUGCUCCAGUCCAAUAAUUCAUCGUGAUAUAUCAAGCAAGAAUGUUCUACUAGAUUCAGAAUAUGAAUCUCAUGUCUCUGACUUUGGCACAGCUAGGAUUAUGAGUUCUGACACAUCUUAUUGGACUUCGUUUGCUGGUACCUUUGGAUACAUUGCUCCAGAGCUUGCAUAUACAAUGGAAGUAAGCGAAAAGUGUGACGUUUACAGUUUUGGAGUAGUCGCGUUGGAAGUAAUUAUUGGAAGGCAUCCAGGUGAUUUGAUCUCAUCAUUUCUAUCAUCAUCAUUCUCAUUAUCAUCCCAUGAUGUGCUACUAGAGGAUAUAUUGGAUCAACGUCUUGCACAUCCUACAAAUAGAGUUGCAGAGAAGGUGGUUUUAGUGGCAAAGAUAGCAUUAACAUGCUUACACACUAGUCCACAAUCUCGUCCCACCAUGCAACAAGUUUAUCAGAAGCUAUUAAAUUGGAAAUCUCCUUUCACAAAGCCUUUGCGCAUGAUCACAUUAAGAGAGCUCAUUGAUCUCGGGAAUUUGAAUGAAGCUUCAUAAGUGUUUACAUAUCUCAUCUUCAUGGUUCAUCUUCGACCCAUCCAAGCCUCCAUCUUACUGUCGGGGCCUCCAUGCCUGUUGACCAAAGGUCUUCAACCCAAAUGGAAGCCGAGCUCUUUCUCUUUUUUGUGGUCCCAAGGCUCUCAAGGUGUGGGAAACAUAUUUGGUCAAGGUCAAUCAGAACACUGGCUUCGAACUUAUCAUGGUAUCUUCACACUUGCUUUCAUUGUUUGUGACCACACAACUCAUCGACAAGACAGGACUAAAAACAGAACUUCCCCCCUCCUUGUUACUAUCCAAAACAUGCCAAAAGUAAUUCGUUUAGGCCUAUGGCUAUGUAAAAUGGGAUCCCGAACAUCUAGACAAUUAUGCAUUGAAAGUUUCUUCCAAUGGGAAUGAAAUGAAAGAAACUCAAAAGAUAAGGCCAAGGAAACAGGCAAAACUGAACUACAAUAGGGAGCCUUAAUUUAAAUAGGCAGCAGUGGAGGGAAGAGGUUCACUAGUGGAGGCAUGGGAAGCAUUGCGCAUGAAUUACCUACUUUGAUUGAUUGAGAUCCUUUUACAGCCCAGGUGAACCAAGCCUGAGAAGAUUGGAAUACAAAAACACUAGGAGCAUGCGAUUUGUAUGAAACACAUGGCUAGACUUGGACAAGCUAUCAAGACAAACUUAAAUGUCCUGGCUUUAUUUAUGAAUGGGUGGUAUGAAAUUGUCAAAAAAUUUCUUUUGUCCAAAU